rnacentral:rRNA from 1 species
CCAGACUCCUACGGGAGGCAGCAGUGAGGAAUAUUGGUCAAUGGUCGGGAGACUGAACCAGCCAAGCCGCGUGAGGGAUGAAGGUACAGAGUAUCGUAAACCUCUUUUGUCAGGGAGCAAAGGGCGCCACGUGUGGCGCUUUGCGAGUACCUGAAGAAAAAGCAUCGGCUAACUCCGUGCCAGCAGCCGCGGUAAUACGGAGGAUGCGAGCGUUAUCCGGAUUUAUUGGGUUUAAAGGGUGCGCAGGCGGAGGUGCAAGUCAGCGGUCAAAUUGCGGGGCUCAACCCCGUACUGCCGUUGAAACUGCAUCCCUUGAGUGCGCGAGAAGUAUGCGGAAUGCGUGGUGUAGCGGUGAAAUGCAUAGAUAUCGCGCAGAACUCCGAUUGCGAAGGCAGCAUGCCGGCUCCACACUGACGCUGAGGCACGAAAGCGUGGGUAUCGAACAGGAUUAGAUACCCCAGUAC